UGUCGGGGGGAGACUUGGACGCGACUUUGUCUAUCAGUCAGUCUUUUUCUCUCUCCUAUA
rnacentral:pre_miRNA from 1 species